UCCAGUGUUCCGCAGGUUGAGGUAGUAGGUUGUAUAGUUCAGAGUGACACCACAGGAGAUAACUGUACAGCCUCCUAGCUUUCCCUGAGGAAACAC
ensembl:miRNA